rnacentral:tRNA from 1 species
CGUAGCUCAGCUGGAUAGAGCACCUGCCUUCUAAGCAGGCGGCCAUUGGUUCGAAUCCAAUCGAAGA